ensembl:lncRNA
UCCACCGCCGUUGUUCUGCAUAAUUUAACGCGACGUCCGCGUUAGGAUGAGUGUUCUGCAUUGUGUUGGGAGGAACGUUGAUGCAGGGAGGGAGGGUACUCACUGUGUAUAGGGUCCUCGAGUUAAGGCCAAGGGAGGUAAAGUCGCCCCAUAACGCGGAGAACACUGAAAAGAUGCAUUUUACACAGAGAAAAAAACUGAUUAGAGAACGAGUAGACGUCUUGUUCAAGUGGCAGCAUUCAGCCGUGGACGUAAUGGAUCCGUACGGGAACUCUGGGAACCUCCAUCUUUGAAACGCCCUAAUCCCCCUCCACCUCUGCCUCCUCCACCCUUAACCCCUCCAACCUCCUCACCUGUCGUCAGAAGGCCUGAACGGGUCGCUGCUAUGGCAACCGUGGAAACCUGUUUACAGGCGCGGCCCACGGUCCGCCUUAACCGGAGAAACGCAGGAGGAAGUAAAGCUGAACACCUCAGGAAAACAGGAAGGACAGAGGCAACAGCAACAACAACAAUAACAACAACAACAACAACGACGAUGACAGCGUUGGCGACGAGAGAGAUGGAGUAUCAGCCUCCCGGUCCUCCAGACGUCAGGAGGAGCAGGGAGGGUAAAGGACGACCUGAGGGCUGGGCUGCUACCCCGGGGAUCGAACCCGGGACCUUUGGGACGGACUCACCUUCAUCCGUAUGAUGGCGUUGACCCAGCUAACCUGGCUCUCCUUCUCCUCACAGCAGAAGUACCUGCAGACCGGAGACACAUUUUAAGGCAUUCUCAUUUUGUGGAACGUAUUUGAAAUGUUGUUCGUGAACCACGUUCAAAUAUAUUAAACCUCACUUAUAUAGAAUCUAGGUCAGUUCUGGUGGUUAUUUUCUCACAGUAGGCACAGUAUAUGAACAGUGAAAAGGUAAAUGGAUUAGUUUCUUUGACCAGAGUCUUAUUAAGGGAAGUCUCCUCUCCUCUCUGGUGAAACAGCAGUGACUUUACACCCAGUGGGGUGAACUGAGGUGUUGGCGGUGAAAACGGUUUCCUCCACAGAUGUAUUUAUGACAUUUAAUAUGGUGACAGG